rnacentral:rRNA from 1 species
UGGGGAAUAUUGGACAAUGGGGGCAACCCUGAUCCAGCAAUGCCGCGUGAGUGAUGAAGGCCUUAGGGUUGUAAAGCUCUUUCGUGCGGGACGAUGAUGACGGUACCGCAAGAAGAAGCCCCGGCUAACUUCGUGCCAGCAGCCGCGGUAAUACGAAGGGGGCUAGCGUUGUUCGGAAUUACUGGGCGUAAAGGGCGCGUAGGCGGUUUUUUAAGUUAGGCGUGAAAGCCCUGGGCUUAACCUAGGAAUUGCGUUUAAUACUGAGAAGCUAGAGUUUAGGAGAGGAAAGUGGAAUUCCCAGUGUAGAGGUGAAAUUCGUAGAUAUUGGGAAGAACAUCAGUGGCGAAGGCGGCUUUCUGGACUAAAACUGACGCUGAGGCGCGAAAGCGUGGGGAGCAAA